rnacentral:rRNA from 1 species
GAUGAACGCUAGCGGCAGGCCUAACACAUGCAAGUCGAGGGAGGAGCCUUCGGGCUUCGACCGGCGUACGGGUGCGUAACGCGUAUACAACCUGCCUUUCACAUAGGGAUAGCCCGAAGAAAUUUGGAUUAAUACCUAAUGGUAUAUAGAUGUGGCAUCACCUUUAUAUUAAAGCUGAGGCGGUGAAAGAUGAGUAUGCGUUCUAUUAGCUAGUUGGAGAGGUAACGGCUCCCCAAGGCGACGAUAGAUAGGGGUUCUGAGAGGGAUAUCCCCCACACUGGUACUGAGAUACGGACCAGACUCCUACGGGAGGCAGCAGUGAGGAAUAUUGGACAAUGGUCGGAAGACUGAUCCAGCCAUGCCGCGUGCAGGAAGACGGCCUUAUGGGUUGUAAACUGCUUUUGCAGGGGAAGAAUAAGGACUACGCGUAGUUUGAUGACGGUACUCUGCGAAUAAGCAUCGGCUAACUCCGUG